GACGAACGCUGGCGGCGUGCUUAACACAUGCAAGUCGAGCGGUAAGGCCCUUUCGGGGGUACACGAGCGGCGAACGGGUGAGUAACACGUGGGUGACCUGCCCUCAGCUCUGGGAUAAGCCUGGGAAACCGGGUCUAAUACUGGAUAUGACUCCAUGACGCAUGUUGUGGGGUGGAAAGCCUUGUGCGGCUGAGGAUGGGCCCGCGGCCUAUCAGCUUGUUGGUGGGGUGANGGCCUACCAAGGCGACGACGGGUAGCCGGCCUGAGAGGGCGACCGGCCACACUGGGACUGAGACGACGGCCCAGACUCCUACGGGAGGCAGCAGUGGGGAAUCUUGCGCAAUGGGCGAAAGCCUGACGCAGCGACGCCGCGUGAGGGAUGACGGCCU
rnacentral:rRNA from 1 species